rnacentral:lncRNA from 1 species
UGCUACCGUUGUGGGAAGCAAGGACAUAUAGCCCGGGUUUGCAGAGCAGUCUUCCCAGAUCCCAAUCAGAUAUGGGCCCAACAACCUCAGCCCAUGACCCCUGCAGAAGGGACCACACCUCACCCCACUCUGCCUUUAAACGGCUAGAGCCCAUGGUCACCGGGGCGACUAUGGGCAAGCAGCAAGACCCCCCACUGCAGGUGAGCAAGACUGGUGAUGGAGAAGAGGAUACCCCUUUAGUGGGCCCCAGGAAUGAGGGGGAGGUGGAAGUCAAUGGAAUGAAGUGCAGAGCGCUCAUUGACUCAGGCUCUCAGAUAACCAGUAUUACACACCAAUACUGGUGCAACCACCCCAUCCUCCAGACACAAAAGCUCCAGCCCUCUAAAAUUCCCAUUGAAGGUGCAGCCGGUCAGAGUGUAACUUACCAUGGUGUCCUGCGCAUCAACUUGACUGUGUUGGGAAAAGAGUUCAAGAAUGUGCCAGCUUUUGUUGUAACUGACUCUGAGUAUCGCUCCUCUGUCCCUCUGCUUGUGGGAACUAAUGUCCUCCGUGCCUCCAGAACCCAUCUCCGAGCAACCUAUGGCCAGCAGUUUCUCCACCAGGUCAAGCAGAGCCAUCCAGAGUGGUACACUUCUCUGCUGGAGAUUGGGGGCAUAGAACAUAAUGAUGUGGAUGACGUGGUGGGCCCUGCUGUGUACACUGGCCGCAAGGUACACAUUCCUGGGGGAAAAGAGAUGGAUUUAAUGUGCAAGAUAAAGGCUGGCCCACAAAGAAAGACUUACACUGCAAUGAUUGAAGGUCACUCCUCCCUGCAGCUCCCCCAAGACCUCUUAGUCGCCAAAGUCCUCGCUGAUGUAAAGAGAGGAUGUGCCCCUGUCAGGGUAAUGAACCUGUCCCAGCAGACUAUUACCAUCAAGCCUCACACACAUCUGGCCAAAGUUUCCCUGGUGAACAGCGUGGUGGACUUUUCAGACAAAAAGCAGGGCCAAUGUCACGAGAGCAAGAGCAAAGAGACGUGCAUGAGUCUGGAUCAGGUUGUGGCGAGCUGUGGAGUGGACUUGGGUGAAGCAGCAGUUGAGAAUGAGCACCAGCGCUCCCUCCUUAAAGAUCUUCUGGAGAGGAAUGUAAGUGUGUUUUCCCAGCAUCCCAUGGAUUAUG